rnacentral:rRNA from 1 species
UACGUAGGGGGCUAGCGUUGUCCGGAUUUAUUGGGCGUAAAGAGCGUGUAGGCGGCCAGGUAGGUCUGCUGUGAAAACUCGAGGCUCAACCUCGAGACGUCGGCGGAAACCAUCUGGCUAGAGUCCGGAAGAGGAGAGUGGAAUUCCUGGUGUAGCGGUGAAAUGCGCAGAUAUCAGGAAGAACACCCGUGGCGAAGGCGGCUCUCUGGGACGGUACUGACGCUGAGACGCGAAAGCGUGGGGAGCGAAUAGG